rnacentral:lncRNA from 1 species
GGCACGUCCGACUGUCUGUCUGUCGGUCGGUCCCCAGUGGCCAACCUCUUGGUGUGGGUGGGGAAGCAGGGACGCGCCCUCUACCCACCAUAGACCAGCGAGCACCUGGACGGAGCACGGAAGGAGGACCUGAACGGUAUCAGGUGUGACCUAGAGGCCAAGCACCACAGGCUAGAAUGACUGGGACUGGCCGAGACCCAGAGCUAUCUAAGGACAAUGUUAUCUCAACAUAAAAAAAAAAAAAAAAAAAAAAAAAAAAAAAAAAAAAGAAAGAAAAGAAAAAGGAAAAGGAAAAUAGCAAAGUAUUUUGAGUACUUC